GCGCCCAUAGCUCAGUUGGAUAGAGCAACGGUUUUCUAAACCGUCGGUCUUAGGUUCGAAUCCUAAUGGGCGUACCA
rnacentral:tRNA from 2 species